GCAACAGAAAUUUAUAAAAAAGGAAAGAAAAUUUCGAAAUCAGCUCAGUCAGUGGUUGCUUUUAAGUCAAAAUAUAAAACAAAAAAGUAAAUUAUGCAAAAAUAUCUGUGAAAAUGAAAUGAAAAUUGCCACAACCGCACAUAACGCGUACCGCUGGGCCACAGAGGGACAGUGCCACCAAAAAAGCAACAACUCACUAAAAAUAGCAUAGAGCUAUAUGGCAGUACGAAAAUGUUGGCGCGCAGGCAAUGCCGGAAAGAUUUUUUCAUCGACAAAAUUAUUUGGUAGUCUACAAUACACAUAUACGUGUAUGUCUAGAUAUGUCUGUCUUUCUGUCUGUCUAUAUGUACGUAAGUGACGCGCAUUAAAUGGCGAGUGAAAAAACAUAAAUGGAAAAUACCAAAUUAUUACGGUAAUAAAGUUGGCAAUAAAAGAGAUAAUAAAUGAACUCUUCAUGUUGCAGUUGAGAGACUUACUUGAUUUUUGCUUGACUUGUUUGCAAUAUUGGUACACCAAAAAUGAAUGUCAGAAUCUCGUUGGGUGAAAACAGCAAGAAACAAAACAAAAAAUAUUGUUUUUAAACGUCGCCACUCACUUUCAAAACACUUUAAAGUUACUUUUUUUUGCAAAUAAUAUUUUUGCUCAAGAAUAUUCACCUACAUACAUACAUAUAUGCUUCUGCUGUUAAUGACAAAACUGUGCCAACUUAUGAAUUUUGUCAGUUUGCUUUUGCACACCUUACA